rnacentral:rRNA from 1 species
CCCUUAGAUGUCCUGGGCCGCACGCGCGUUACACUGAUGCAUUCAACGAGCUUAUAACCUUGGCCGAGAGGCCUGGGCAAUCUUGUUAACGUGCAUCGUGAUAGGGAUAGAUUAUUGAAAUUAUUAAUCCUGAACGAGGAAUUCCUAGUAAACGCAGAUCAUCAAUCUGCAUUGAUUACGUCCCUGCCCUUUGUACACACCGCCCGUCGCACCUACCGAUUGGGUGGUCCGGUGAAGCCUCGGGAUUGUGGUUCUUGCCGCUUUAUUGUGGCGUGACCGCGAGAACUUGUCUAAACCUUAUCAUCUAGAGGAAGGUGAAGUCGUAACA